GGAAUUUUUGACAAUGGGGGAAACCCUGAUCAAGCAACGCCGCGUGGAUGAUGAAGUAUCUCGGUACGUAAAAUCCUUUCGACAGGGAAGAAGCUCUUCGGAGUUGACGGUACCUGUAGAAGAAGCCCCGGCUAACUCCGUGCCAGCAGCCGCGGUAAUACGGAGGGGGUUAGCGUUGUUCGGAAUUACUGGGGGUAAAGCGCACGUAGGCGGAUCAGAAAGUUGGGGGUGAAAUCCCGGGGCUCAACCCCGGAACGGCCUCCAAAACUCCUGGUCUUGAGUUCGAGAGAGGUGAGUGGAAUUCCGAGUGUAGAGGUGAAAUUCGUAGAUAUUCGGAGGAACACCAGUGGCGAAGGCGGCUCACUGGCUCGAUACUGACGCUGGGGUGCGAAAGUGUGGGGAGCA
rnacentral:rRNA from 1 species